GAUGAACGCUGGCGGCGUGCCUAAUACAUGCAAGUCGAGCGAACAGACGAGGAGCUUGCUCCUCUGACGUUAGCGGCGGACGGGUGAGUAACACGUGGAUAACCUACCUAUAAGACUGGGAUAACUUCGGGAAACCGGAGCUAAUACCGGAUAAUAUAUUGAACCGCAUGGUUCAAUAGUGAAAGACGGUUUUGCUGUCACUUAUAGAUGGAUCCGCGCCGCAUUAGCUAGUUGGUAAGGUAACGGCUUACCAAGGCAACGAUGCGUAGCCGACCUGAGAGGGGGUUCGCCCCAACGGGACCGAGAAACGGGCCAGAACCCCACGGGGGGGCAGAAGGAGGAAAUUUUCCGAAUGGGGGGAAAGCCUGCCGGGGCAACGCCGCGGGAGUAAUAAAGGUUUUGGGAUCGAAAAACCUUGUUUUUGGGAAAAAACAAAUUUGGAAAUAACCAUGCCGGUUUGGACGGUACCUAAUAAGAAAGCCCGGGCAAAUUACGG
rnacentral:rRNA from 1 species